UGAUUCCAGCAGAAGAUAUUUGCAACCUGAAGUGUUACACAAGGUCAGCUUCAAGGCUAUGAAGCAAAAGAUCAGACAAAGGUUUUCGCCAUGUUUGUCCUUCAGCUUAGUAACUAUUCAAAAGAUAUAUGGAUGAUUAUAUGGGUGCGUGGCAAGAAUACUGCAAUGAUGAUGACGGUGUUCUGGUUCAUGAUGAUGAUGAUGAUGAUGAUGAUGAUGAUGAUGAUGAUGGACGCUUUUAGUUGUAGUUAAGUUAGGGAUGUUGUUCCCAUUGGAUGAUGUUCCUGUUCCUUAGUUAAGUUUUUGUUAAGUUGUAGGGAUAUUGAUGGAUCCUUUCAGUAAGCUUUGAUGUCAAGAAAAUAUUUAGAUCGUGUAUCACAAUAGGAUGAAGUUCCUCAUGUAAUAUCCACUAUUGUAA